GGGUCCCUGUUCUAAUGGCAGGAUGCCGGUCUCCAAAACCGUGCAGUCGUGGUUCGAAUCCAUGGGGGCUUGCCA
rnacentral:tRNA from 1 species